rnacentral:rRNA from 1 species
AAUAGAUACCCCGGUAGUCCACCCCGUAAACGUUGGGAACUAGUUGUGGGGUCCUUUCCACGGAUUCCGUGACGCAGCUAACGCAUUAAGUUCCCCGCCUGGGGAGUACGGCCGCAAGGCUAAAACUCAAAGGAAUUGACGGGGACCCGCACAAGCGGCGGAGCAUGCGGAUUAAUUCGAUGCAACGCGAAGAACCUUACCAAGGCUUGACAUACACCGGAAACGGCCAGAGAUGGUCGCCCCGCAAGGUCGGUGUACAGGUGGUGCAUGGUUGUCGUCAGCUCGUGUCGUGAGAUGUUGGGUUAAGUCCCGCAACGAGCGCAACCCUCGUUCUAUGUUGCCAGCACGUCAUGGUGGGAACUCAUGGGAUACUGCCGGGGUCAACUCGGAGGAAGGUGGGGAUGACGUCAAAUCAUCAUGCCCCUUAUGUCUUGGGCUUCACGCAUGCUACAAUGGCCGGUACAAAGGGCUGCAAUACCGUGAGGUGGAGCGAAUCCCAAAAAGCCGGUCCCAGUUCGGAUUGAGGUCUGCAACUCGACCUCA